GACGAACGCUGGCGGCGUGCCUAAUACAUGCAAGUCGAGCGGAAGUUGGGGAGCUUGCUCUUCAACUUUAGCGGCGGACGGGUGAGUAACACGUGGGCAACCUGCCCUGCAGAUCGGGAUAACUCCGGGAAACAGGUGCUAAUACCGAAUAGUUUUCGCCACCUCCUGGUGGCGUACGGAAAGACGGUUUCGGCUGGUACUGCAGGAUUGGCCCGCGGCGCAUUAGCUAGUUGGUGGGGUAACGGCCCACCAAGGCGACGAUGCGUAGCCGCCCUGAGAGGGUGAUCGGCCACACUGGGACUGAGACACGGCCCAGAGUCCUACGGGAGGCAGCAGUAGGGAAUCUUCCGCAUUGGACGAAAGUCUGUCGGAGCAACGCCGCGUGAGUGACGAAGGUUUUCGGAUCGUAAAACUCUGUUGUGAGGGAAGAACAAGUACCAACUAACUACUGGUACCUUGACGGUACCUCACCAGAAAGCCACGGCUAACUACGUGCCAGCAGCCGCCGUAACAC
rnacentral:rRNA from 1 species